CUUGUCUUUGUCUCCAUUUGCCAAUAUGCAGAGAUUUUGUUAAACAUCAUUAAACAUGUCAAGAUUUUAAACCUUGUUCACUGCUUCCUUGGUGGAUGGCAGGUUGUAUAUAUUCCAGAGAGCUACGGUAUCAGUCCAACAUGACAUAAUUGUUUAAUUGAUUUCCGACUGUCAUGAACUUCUGAAAGUCACCGAUUUGCAUCCUAUUUCAUUAAUCCUUUGUGGUAUACAUGAAGAUUUCUUUUUCUUGUCAUCAGUGACAGACCCUGUGUUGAGGACUGUUUAAGGAAUGACUGGGUAAGGUCAGUCAGUAGUGGAGAUUCACCCAUGCAGACGCCUACAUUACGACUUGACACAUCUAGACUGGUGGAUUUUAUUGAGAGGAGAAAAACACAGAAUGACAUUGUACCUGUGACACCAGUGGCAGGGUACCAACCAACAGGUAAAACGUCCACUGUAUAAGGCUUCCUUCACUUUCACAGUUGGGUUUAUUUGUUUAAAUGGUUAUGAUCCUCUGCAUAGCAGUGUUACAAGGUCUCUCCUUCACAGGUAGAUGAUGAUAAUGAAGAAAGUUUUCUUGAAUUUAAACAGAUGACAGGAAUGGAUACUAGAAAAAUUUGUCCAAUUGGUAGAUGAAAGUUGAAGAUUGCGUGUGUACACAUUAGUUGGUUUUACUUCACCAAGCUGUUAAUUCCCUCUUGCAUAAGUGGUAGAGGGCAGUAUGUUUAAUAACACCUCACCUACAGAUUCUGUAUCUUGAUUGGCCGAGAGUCAGUCAUAUGGCGUUUGCUAUUUUAGCUAAUUUGUUGUGUGCAGCCAAAAGAGGAACAAGUAUCCCCACAGCAAGCAAAGAACUAUAUGCAUGACUACUGUCAUUGUGUGCAAAUGGAUACAGGUGUGCGUGUUGCAUGCAUUCCAAAGCACUAGCGCUACAGUGCUGGGUUCAACCAUUUUGUAAAGAGGUAGGUUGGAAAAGCCCUGGUAAAUAUGCAGCAAAUGUCUCAUUCAAAUAGACAUAUUUUUAUAUGUAGUCAGAUCAAAUUAAUCAGAUAUUUUUUUAAUCAAGCAGAAUCUGUGGGAGAAGUGUUAUGAAAGAAAUAUCAACUGCUUUAUUUUGUGUUAUAAAAUGAGCCUCCUGAGAUUGAGCAUUCCAUUUUCCCACAUCAAAAAUAGAAUUCUUUGUAGAUCAUCUCGGGGAGACUAGUUUUACUACACCACUUGAAGCAGUCGAUAUUUGUAUACUAGUCAACUGCUGGAUAGAGUUAGGAAGUUGCAUGGUGCAUAGUAUUUGAAGAGUGUUUUGGUGAAGUAUUGUUACUGAGACUAAACGAAAAGUAAAAGGGAUCAAGCGACUAAACAAGAAUGCUGUGAGUUUCCUACACACUCAUUUACUGAGUGGUCCAAAGUGCAGUGACCCUAGUAUAGCUAUCAGUCAGGCAACUCAGCAUUGACGGCUAUGUAGCACUAAUUUGAAUAAUCUCAACAUUUAAAUGUGUUAUUUGAAAUAAAAAUUUUUUACGUCAACAGUAAUACAGUGACAAUUUAUAUAGGCAAAAAGUUUAAAUCACAGAGAGGUAUGGGAUACCCCCACCUUCACGUAAACAGUCAGCCCCCCCCCCAUGACUGUCUGUCUGUUUAGCACUGUCUGAUUGAGAAAGUUCAUUCUCAACAUCACUCAUACAGUAUGGAUCCUUGUUCACGUACUUGCAGAGUGUAUUAUUAUUAAUUUGCAAAUUCAAAAUAUUUCACUGCCAAUAUGUAAUUGACUUAAUUGAAGGCCCUAAUAUGUAAAUAACUUUUAAGUAAUACUGUUAUUAAAAAGCAGGCCACAUUGACUAGUGAAACCGACACUGAUAUUGGCCAAUUCUUCAUAGAAUUAUACUCACCUCAUAUAACCAGAGCCAAAAUAAAUGUAAAUAAUAUUCAGAGUUUUUAUUUGCUGCAAUAUAUCCGUAUAUUUCAACUGAGUAGCAAUAAAAUUACUUAUGUACAUAAAUUAGAAUAUAGAGUGCAUGUUAUGUCAAUAUUAUCGCUGUGACUUUUUGUUUUAAAUUGCUAUUUUUAAGUGAGUGUAUGUGUCAACAAAAUAAUUCAUUUGAUACUAAAGGGUUUCUUUUUUUAUUAUGUAUGACGGAAGUAUAAUUUUAUUUUAUUUUUCUGAAAUUAAUUUAUUUGUAUUUGUAACGUUUAAAAGUGUAAUGUUUCAGUAUAUUACCUACUGAGCUGUUAUAGCUGUUAGGUUGAAAUUUAUCGAGCUUUUAUCAACACCUAUUAAAUCAAUUAGAAUUUGCCGAA